rnacentral:rRNA from 1 species
CAAGUCGAGCGAGUUUUCUGUGCUGCACUAGAAAAACGUAAGACGGCGAACGGUAGAGUAACACGUAAAGAACCUAGCCUCAUAGACGGGACAACUAUUGGAAACGAUAGCUAAUACCGGAUAACAGCAUAAAUCGCAUUGAUUAUAUGUUUAAAAGUUGGUUUCGGUCUAACACUAUGAGAUGGCUUUGCGGUGCAUUAGCUAGUUGGUGGGGUAAGGGGCCUACCAAGGCGACGAUGCAUAGCCGACCUGAGAGGGUGAUCGGCCACACUGGGACUGAGACACGGCCCAGACUCCUACGGGAGGCAGCAGUAGGGAAUCCUCCGCAAUGGGCGAAAGCCUGACGGAGCAACGCCGCGUGAGUGAAGAAGGAUUUCGGUUCGUAAAGCUCUGUUGUUAGGGAAGAAUGAUUGUAUAGUAACUAUAUACAGUAGAGACGGUACCUAACCAGAAAGCCACGGCUAACUACGUG